rnacentral:rRNA from 1 species
UUGGCGGUGGUUUAGUCUUGUCAGAGGAACCUGGUUUUUAAAUCGAUACACCACGAAGAAUCUUACUUAAACUUGUAAAGUAGUAUGUAUACCAUCAUUAUUAGGUAAUUUUUAUAGAAUAAAUUACUGAAAGAUAGUUAUUAAUAGUGUUAAAUAUAUUAGAUCAAGGUGCAGCUAAUGUUUAAGUUAAAAUGGGUUACAAUAAAAAUUUAUUUAAUACGGAAUAUUAAUUUAAAUAGUUAAUUAGAAGGAGGAUUUGAUUGUAAAUUAAAUUUAAUAUGUUUAAUUAGAUAUAAGCUCUAAAGCAUGUACACAUCGCCCG